ACCAAUCUUAUGCAUAUCUGCGAUAUUCGGAGGACGUGACAACGAUACAGAGGGAUACGUUUAAGCGGCAAAACGUGACGCUGCGGGUGAGAAUGUUAAUGUAAUAUUAUUAAUAGUUUUACGGAGAUCUGUCAAGCUUGGUUUCAGUAAGAAGAACGACAGUCCCGUCUACAUUUGCACAAGGAAGAAGGAAAUGCUGAAGUAGAAAGGAAUUGUGGGAAGGAGAGUUGGUUUCUGUCUCUCGUAUGGUGCCUCGUGUCUGUCCUGGGUAAUCGGCGGGUCGUCGUCCUCCUCGACUUCCCGACAGCUGACAGUGGAAAGAUAAGUCCGGAGAAGGGGACGUUAAACGAAAUACGGAAGAAUAUAGGGGACCACAAACGGAAGGAGUUGCGGUUUCAGUCUACAGUGAUUGACUAAGAUAUCGGAAGUGACGUAUGCUGACAGGAGCAUGUGGUUAAAUCUCUUCUUUGGCGACAUAUUAUUUCUACAUGCCUUUCUUGCUCCAUCCUUCUCUCUUCUUCGCCCUGCGAUAAUGCAGAGGAAGAUCGAUAUGACGAGGAACAGAGGCAUAUGUUGUGUCACUAGCGUAAAAGACAAUCAGUUUCAUACGUUGUGGCAAAAUAUGGAAAAAUGUUAGUGACGAAGCGAUGAAAUGUUUGCUUCAAUGUAGGUGGAAGCAUUGUCAAGGCAAGGCCAGGCGCUGUCUUUUACGGUGUUCCUUUGUGAAGUGCAGGCCUGUGUGUUGCGAUAUUUGGAGAAAAGAGAGUCUUGUCUCUUUAAGGGGGUAGUGUAUACGUGAUUCCUUUUCCUAGUACGUAAAUUGUCGCCGCCAGAUAGUCAGAAAAUUGUGAAAACGAGUGAGCUAUUUUCAGAGAAUGUCUUGGUUUUUAUCAUCAUCAAAUAAUGUAGGAAAUUGAAAAAAGAGAAUCACUAUUCACAUACUAUUUUUCAUGUGGCCAAAUAUUGCGACAAAUUGGCAAAAAGGACGGCAAGCGGUUUGGUGGAACGCCGAGGGAAGAGCCUUACAAGAGUGACGAAUUUCCCGGGAUAAAGGGGGAUCGUACGUAUUCAGCCACGAGUUCCGCUUAAGAAAACCUUCCAGACGGUAUAUCAAAAUCAAUGAGGACGAGAAGCAAGGAAGACGCCCACCUGUGUAGGACAACCCCCCCAUUAAAUGUGGCCCCGCUUUUCUCCUGAAAGUGUGCUCAUAUGUGUGGAGUUGAACCACGUCGUGAUGUUGUGUACAGAUGUCCGGCUGUGUCAAACUCCUGGGGCUAUCACUGGGCCUGAAAACGAAAAUGUUUGAAUGGUGUAAAGUCUUUCCCCCCGUGUUCGUGCAUCCGGAGAAAACUCCUCAACCGAGCGCCCUG
rnacentral:lncRNA from 1 species